rnacentral:tRNA from 1 species
UGGCCUGAUCGCGUCGCCGGUGCGGCGGCCGGUCCGCAAAACCGGAUCCCGGAAACGGGCGAGGGAUUCGACUUCCCGUCAGGCCU